ensembl:lncRNA LINC01473 long intergenic non-protein coding RNA 1473
GAGUACUACUCAUAUUCUCUGCAACUUGAGAUUUCUGAACAGUGAAAUGAUAUGAUGGAAAACGUGUUGUAGAACUUUUAGGAAGAUUAAUCUAUCAAUAGUAAGCAAGAUGGAGAGUAAAGAGAAGUAUCUGAGACGAAUGAUAAUUCAAUUGAAGUAAUUCAGAUGAGAAGUGACAAGAGCCUGAACAGAAAUGGAAAGAAAUGGGAAGUUGUAAGAGGCACUGAAAUGGAAAAAUCACUGAUUGGAUAUGGAACAUUAAGAAAGGAGAAAAAGAAGUGUUCUAUAAGAAGUUUGGACAAGACUCUGCAAGAAGUUAAGAGCAGGUCCUUAAAGGCAACUGUGAAUUAACGGAGACUAGUUUUGAGAAAAUCAGUCCUGAUUUGUUUCUCCUGGAGUUUUCUUCUUUAUGUGAUCCUUCAUAAAAGCUGCUAAUAUGGGAAAGAUUGAAAUCAGCAAGUUUCUGGCUGUAAGCUAAAAGAGGCUCUUGAAUCAUAUUUCCGCCUGCUUAGCAAAUUUCUCUUGCGACAAUUGGAUGUUAUUUGGGGUUCCAUACUAGCAGGAAGAAGUACAAGCAAAGCUAAGUCAUUUUGAGAAUAAAUAUUAUCUCUCUAUAUAUUUGUAAAUGUUAUUUUCUUUUUUUUUGAGGUUUAUGAUUGAUCCUUGGCAUGUGUCCCCUUGUGUAUUGCUCUACUAAAAAUAGCCUAAAAAAGAAUUUUCCCCUCGAUGUGGAGCUUCUCUUUAGUUACAAUUCUACUUUCUCCUUCACUUGAGUAUCAGUCUUCAGAGAACUACCAUAACAAAGGAGUGGAUACAGAUAUACGCAAAAAAGUCUAUGAGAAAAUUAGUACAUUAAAUUUGUGAAAGCUCAUUUAAAGUAAUUUUCUACUAACAAUUUUAAUCAAAUGUAUUAAUCAUAUUUCUAUGCUUAGUGAUGUUAAAUAAAAAUUUAAAAGGUGGCAAUCAAUAAACAGAGAUAAAAGCUUCUCAAGAAUAAAUGAAAGGAAGUAAUAAAAAGACUCACUAAGCUGAAUUGCCUCCUAUCAACAGCAGCUGAUAAAAUAUUAAAAGAUUUGCCUUGUGUAAUGUCUCUGGAGAGCUGUCUUACUGAUGUACGAGGCCAUGAUUGACAACUUUGAGACUUUGCUGGAAGCGACAAAAGUAUAUCUAUAAUAUUAUGCUGAAUUGCAUAGGUCUUUCUUCUUAAAUGAGGCUAGAAAUAACAUACCACCAAGUGUUUGGCUUUUAGGAAAUUGAGCAUUUUCUUUAGUUCUAGCUGCAGUUUAAUUUCCUCAGAAUUAGACAUUAUGCGGUAUCUGGAACGUUAAAAAAAAAAAAAAGCAAAAA